rnacentral:rRNA from 1 species
CUACGCACUCCUACGGGGAGGCAGCAGUGGGGAAUAUUGCACAAUGGGCGCAAGCCUGAUGCAGCCAUGCCGCGUGUAUGAAGAAGGCCUUCGGGUUGUAAAGUACUUUCAGCAGUGAGGAAGGUGGGUAUGUUAAUAGCAUACUCAUUUGACGUUAGCUGCAGAAGAAGCACCGGCUAACUCCGUGCCAGCAGCCGCGGUAAUACGGAGGGUGCGAGCGUUAAUCGGAAUUACUGGGACGUAAAGCGCAUGCAGGUGGUUUGUUAAGUCAGAUGUGAAAGCCCGGGGCUCAACCUCGGAAUUGCAUUUAGAAACUGGACAAACUAGAGUACUGUAGAGGGGGUAGAAUUUCAGGUGUAGCGGUGAAAUGCGUAGAGAUCUGAAGGAAUACCGGUGGCGAAGGCGGCCCCCUGGACAGAUACUGACACUCAGAUGCGAAAGCGUGGGGAGCAAACAGGAUUAGAUACCCUGGUAG